UACGGAGGGGACUAGCGUUGUUCGGAAUUACUGGGCGUAAAGCGCACGUAGGCGGCUUUGCAAGUUAGAGGUGAAAGCCCGGGGCUCAACUCCGGAAUUGCCUUUAAAACUGCAUCGCUAGAAUUGUGGAGAGGUAAGUGGAAUUCCGAGUGUAGAGGUGAAAUUCGUAGAUAUUCGGAAGAACACCAGUGGCGAAGGCGACUUACUGGACACAUAUUGACGCUGAGGUGCGAAAGCGUGGGGAGCAAACAGG
rnacentral:rRNA from 1 species